rnacentral:rRNA from 1 species
GGGCCCGCACAAGCGGUGGAGUAUGUGGUUUAAUUCGAUGCAACGCGAAGAACCUUACCAGGGUUUGACAUCCUGCGAAUCUCUUGGAAACAGGAGAGUGCCUUCGGGAACGCAGUGACAGGUGGUGCAUGGCUGUCGUCAGCUCGUGUCGUGAGAUGUUGGGUUAAGUCCCGCAACGAGCGCAACCCACGUCUUUAGUUGCCAGCAUUUAGUUGGGCACUCUAGAGAGACUGCCGGUGAUAAACCGGAGGAAGGUGAGGACGACGUCAAGUCAUCAUGGCCCUUACGAGUAGGGCUACACACGUGCUACAAUGGGGAAUACAGACGGACGCUAAGCCGCGAGGUGGUGCU